GUAAAAGCAGAGAAAGGAAGAGUAAGUAUUUAAACUAUUUACAGAGAGCUGGGCGGAGGUUGAGAACCAGUAAUAGUAAGAAUACUGAAGAUGGUCCUGGAGCUAUAUGGUUGAAAUCUAGUAGGUCAUAUCGGGUUGCUACCGUUAUCAGCUUAAGAGUGGCUAUAUAAUCAGGUUUAUAGCAAUUAGGGUGGUACCGCGACGAAAUUUAAACUCUCGUCCCUAAA
rnacentral:ncRNA from 1 species